GUACAUGAGAGUCCGUUCGUAAUGUUCGUGCUGGUUCGUGGUCGGGCGGUCGUCUGUCGUUAAGUCGUCAAUGGUGUACAAAUAUGAAAUAUGGAAAAUUUUAUAUGACUAAUUUAGGAUGUUUUAAAUCUGACUGAUUAGAUUUCUGGCAGAAACUUGUCCUAAAAUGCCUGAGAUCGAUGGGGAAGAAAGUGGUGAUGAGGAAAUGACAAGAAAUGUUGCUGCGGAUGAAAACAUGAGCGAAGACGAUGACAGUUCUUCGGGGUCAGAGGAAUCAUCAAGUUCUGGGGAUGAGAUUGAGAAUGAGAAACGACGGCUACAAUGUGUGCAGGAAAUGAAUGAACUUGAGAAGCAGUUUGCCAACAUUAAAGAGCAGCUGUAUAAGGAAAGAAUCAGUCAGAUUGAGAAGAAACUGCUCACAGUUCAAGAUGACACAGCUGAGGAAUAUCUAGACCCUCUUUGUAAACUCCAAGAUAUGUGUCAAGUAAGACAAGAAGUUGCAGAUGUACUCAAAGGAUGUAAAUUACAAAAUGUAGAAAAUAAAUAUGUUGCCGAAGGGUUGGCGACAUCACAAUAUUUCGAGAGUGAGAAAAAUGUGCUCAUGGAAAAAAUGAGAGUUGAUCUGGAGGAAAAAAUACGUAAGUUGGAGGAAGAUCGACACAAUUCAGACAUCAGUGCAGAUUUAUGGUUGGAGUCACAAAAUCUGAAGAAACACAAGAAAGCUGAUGGCUUCUUCAAUGACAAACGAAGAAAGCCAGUUACUGUGUCUGGUCCAUAUAUUGUUUACAUGCUUCAUGAUAUGGAUAUUUAUGAAGAUUGGGCUGCUAUCAGAAGGGCAAAAGGAGCCUUAUCAAGACGAAAAUCUGAAAGUAACAGUGGAAACCAAGGAAAUACCUUUGAUGAGAGUAAAUGUCCAGUGCACGAUAUGAAGAUGGAAAGCUGUUUUAUGAAGGAGAAUGGUUUGUUAAAGGGAAUCAUGUAAAGGUUGAAAGUAAAGGAGGAGCACCUGUUGAUGCAACCAUUACUGCCAUCAACACAGGGGAGGUUUGGAUAAAAAAACCUCAUGGCGACAGAUUCAAGUUAUACAUUGCUCAACUGCAAAAGGAAAUUUAAAUUAAGAAAAACAAAGUAAUCUAUGAUCACUGUCAUUUUUGUGUAUAUUGUAUGAUAUUACUAAAUAACAAGGCAAUAUUUUCUACUUUUUCUUUGUCAGUCAUUACUGCAUAUUACAAUGUAAAGGCCAAUUUAUGAUGGGUCAUUUGCUUUUUAGUCAAAUAUAUUUAUUAAGGAGUUA